rnacentral:ncRNA from 2 species
GCUGACUCCUCUAUACUCUGCGCGCUUUCACUCCAGCUGGGAAUCCGGUGAGAAUCCGGAACUGGCGCGCAGCGGUAAAGAGAAACGAAAGUGACAAGGCGAAAGCCAGACACUGCAUCUGAAUGUGGGAAGUCGUCACUGUAGGUCGUCUCUAAGUCCGAAUAUCAGCUGGGUCACAAUAUGGUUU